rnacentral:rRNA from 1 species
GCCUGCCCAGUGACAAAGUUCAACGGCCGCGGUACCCUAACCGUGCGAAGGUAGCAUAAUCACUUGUUCUUUAAAUAGGGACUAGUAUCAACGGCACCACGAGGGUUGUACUGUCUCCUUUCUCCUAUCAGUGAAACUGAUCUCCCCGUGAAGAAGCGGGGAUAUUAAUAUAAGACGAGAAGACCCCAUGGAGCUUUAAACCCUACAACACCCCCACUCAUAUAUACCCUCUCAACCUAGGGGAACUGUUUGUUGGUUUUAGGUUGGGGUGACCGCGGAGUAUAAUUUAACCUCCACGACGAACGGGACUAUGCCCUAAUCCAAGAGCAACCACUCUAAGAAUCAAAAAUUUGAUGUAAAAUGAUCCGAUUUUCGAUCAACGAACCAAGUUACCCUGGGGAUAACAGCGCAAUCCAUUUCAAGAGCCCCUAUCGACAAAUGGGUUUACGACCUCGAUGUUGGAUCAGGGUAUCCCAGUGGUGCAGCCGCUACUAAAGGUUCGUUUGUUCAACGAUUAAAACCCUACGUGAUCUGA